ACACUCCUGCGGGAGGCAGCAGUGGGGAAUUUUGGACAAUGGGCGAAAGCCUGAUCCAGCAAUGCCGCGUGAGUGAAGAAGGCCUUCGGGUUGUAAAGCUCUUUUGUCAGGGAAGAAACGGUGAGAGCUAAUAUCUUUUGCUAAUGACGGUACCUGAAGAAUAAGCACCGGCUAACUACGUGCCAGCAGCCGCGGUAAUACGUAGGGUGCAAGCGUUAAUCGGAAUUACUGGGCGUAAAGCGUGCGCAGGCGGUUUUGUAAGUCUGAUGUGAAAUCCCCGGGCUCAACCUGGGAAUUGCAUUGGAGACUGCAAGGCUAGAAUCUGGAAGAGGGGGGUAGAAUUCCACGUGUAGCAGUGAAAUGCGUAGAUAUGUGGAGGAACACCGAUGGCGAAGGCAGCCCCCUGGGUCAAGAUUGACGCUCAUGCACGAAAGCGUGGGGAGCAAACAGGAUUAGAAACCCGUGUAGUCC
rnacentral:rRNA from 1 species